UAUGAAGGGGGCUAGCGUUGCUCGGAAUCACUGGGCGUAAAGGGUGCGUAGGCGGGUCUUUAAGUCAGGGGUGAAAUCCUGGAGCUCAACUCCAGAACUGCCUUUGAUACUGAGGAUCUUGAGUUCGGGAGAGGUGAGUGGAACUGCGAGUGUAGAGGUGAAAUUCGUAGAUAUUCGCAAGAACACCAGUGGCGAAGGCGGCUCACUGGCCCGAUACUGACGCUGAGGCACGAAAGCGUGGGGAGCAAACAGG
rnacentral:rRNA from 1 species